GGAAAACAUUUAUUUUGUUUCCUGUUUAAGUGAAUUCAUGGCUGAGAUGGACGAAUUUCUAUUGUGUGGGCUGGAGGUUCUUUAGUUAGGGCACUAGCACUACCUAAGCUUCCAUUCUGGUAAAAUGUAUGACAUGCCUGAUGAGCAUGCAUAUCUAUAUGGUUUUGUGGACACCGAUUUAGUUCCACGCCAGUUUAUUUCCAGCAGUUGGUCUGCUUCUUCAUAGAGAUUUUAUUAGUACUACAUUAAAUUAGAAAUUGAAUGUGUGCUUCUUUCACCUUCAGUCUGAACAUGACAUUGCCUUAUUUGUGACAUAGGUGGAAAUUAGCAAGCAAGCUACAGUUGAUGCAUGGAUGACCAAGUUUACUUAUUACUUUAUGAAGAUGAUGAUUCCUGCAUGUUGAUUGUGCUUCAAGGUCGAAGAGGAUGGGAGGAGGGGAAGUGCGCUCUAUAUUUUGUUAUGCACACCUUUCUAAACUAUACUUGUCUUCUUAACACAUGUUCAUUGUCCAGUAGAAGCUGUAGAUUUCAGCGUACAAUAAUUUCCAAAACGGUAGAAGGUGUUACUAAUAUGGUGAGUGAUUUAAGGGGAGGCAUGGGGAGAAGAGCAGUCCAAAUGGUGGAUGGAGCAUGUGACCUGUUGAUGUUAGUUUCCAUUUUCGGAAAGAACAAAUUUUCUAUAAUUUGAGUGUAUGGUGAUGUGUUAAAGUCAAUCAUUUGGAUUCCCAACUAGACCAUUGUGUGUGUUCUUUAUUUUAUUGUGCAUUGAUAAAAUAUUUCAGUGCCCGUGUGCACCAAGUUGAAUUUUGAAACAGA